rnacentral:rRNA from 1 species
GAUGAACGCUGGCGGCGUGCCUAAUACAUGCAAGUCGAGCGAACAGAUGAGGAGCUUGCUCCUCUGACGUUAGCGGCGGACGGGUGAGUAACACGUGGAUAACCUACCUAUAAGACUGGGAUAACUUCGGGAAACCGGAGCUAAUACCGGAUAAUAUAUUGAACCGCAUGGUUCAAUAGUGAAAGACGGUUUUGCUGUCACUUAUAGAUGGAUCCGCGCCGCAUUAGCUAGUUGGUAAGGUAACGGCUUACCAAGGCAACGAUGCGUAGCCGACCUGAGAGGGUGAUCGGCCACACUGGAACUGAGACACGGUCCAGACGCCUACGAGAGGCAGCAGUAGGGAAUCUUCCGCAACGGGCGAGAGCCUGACGGAGCAACGCCGCGUGAGUGAUGAAGGUCUUCGGAGCGUAAAACUCUGUUAUUAGGGAAGAACAAAUGUGUAAGUAACUAUGCACGUCUUGACGGUAACUAAUCAGAAAGCCACGGCUAACUACGUG